AUUGAACGCUGGCGGAAUGCUUUACACAUGCAAGUCGAACGGCAGCACGGGGGCAGCCCUGGUGGCGAGUGGCGAACGGGUGAGUAAUACAUCGGAACGUGCCCGGUCGUGGGGGAUAACGUAGCGAAAGUUACGCUAAUACCGCAUACGAUCUGAGGAUGAAAGCGGGGGACCUUCGGGCCUCGCGCGAUCGGAGCGGCCGAUGUCAGAUUAUGUAGUUGGUGGGGUAAAGGCCUACCAAGCCGACGAUCUGUAGCUGGUCUGAGAGGACGACCAGCCACACUGGGACUGAGACACGGCCCAGACUCCUACGGGAGGCAGCAGUGGGGAAUUUUGGACAAUGGGCGCAAGCCUGAUCCAGCCAUUCCGCGUGCAGGACGAAGGCCUUCGGGUUGUAAACUGCUUUUGUACGGAACGAAAAGGCUCUGGCUAAUACCUGGGGCUCAUGACGGUACCGUAAGAAUAAGCACCGGCUAACUACGUG
rnacentral:rRNA from 1 species